rnacentral:rRNA from 1 species
AUUGAACGCUGGCGGCAGGCCUAACACAUGCAAGUCGAGCGGCAGCACGGGUACUUGUACCUGGUGGCGAGCGGCGGAGCGGGUGAGUAAUACCUANGAAUCUGCCUGGUAGUGGGGGAUAACGUUCGGAAACGGACGCUAAUACCGCAUACGUCCUACGGGAGAAAGCACGGGACCUUCGGGCCUUGCGCUAUCACAUGAGCCUAGUCGGGAUUAGCUACUUGGUGAGGUAAUGGCUCACCAAUGCUACGAUCCGCAACUGGUCUGACAGGAUGAUCNAGUCACACUGGAACUGAGACUCGGCCCAGACUC